AUUGAACGCUGGCGGCAUGCUUUACACAUGCAAGUCGAACGGUAACAGGUCUUCGGAUGCUGACGAGUGGCGAACGGGUGAGUAAUACAUCGGAACGUGCCCGAGAGUGGGGGAUAACGAGGCGAAAGCUUUGCUAAUACCGCAUACGAUCUCAGGAUGAAAGCAGGGGACCGCAAGGCCUUGCGCUCACGGAGCGGCCGAUGGCAGAUUAGGUAGUUGGUGGGAUAAAAGCUUACCAAGCCGACAAUCUGUAGCUGGUCUGAGAGGACGACCAGCCACACUGGGCAUGAGACACGGCCCAGACUCCUACGGGAGGCAGCAGUGGGGAAUUUUGGACAAUGGGCGCAAGCCUGAUCCAGCCAUGCCGCGUGCAGGAUGUAGGCCUUCGGGUUGUAAACUGCUUUUGUACGGAACGAAAAGACUCUGGUUAAUACCUGGGGUCCAUGACGGUACCGUAAGAAUAAGCACCGGCUAACUACGUGCCAGCCGCCGCCGUAACAC
rnacentral:rRNA from 1 species